rnacentral:pre_miRNA from 1 species
UGUGUACUCCCUUCGUUCCAAAAUACUUGACUUCCAUUUGUCCAAAAAUGGAUGUACCUAUAUACUAAAACAUGUCUAGAUACAUAUAUAUUCUGACAAAUAGAAGGCAUGUAUUGUGCAACGGAGGGAGUAGAAU